CCUACGGGGGGCAGCAGUGGGGAAUAUUGGACAAUGGGGGGAACCCUGUUCCAGCCAUGCCGCGUGUGUGAAGAAGGCCCUCGGGUUGUAAAGCACUUUCAGUGAGGAAGAACGCCUGGUGGUUAAUACCCAUCAGGAAAGACAUCACUCACAGAAGAAACACCGGCUAACUCCGUGCCAGCAGCCGCGGUAAUACGGAGGGUGCGAGCGUUAAUCGGAAUUACUGGGCGUAAAGCGCGCGUAGGUGGCUUGAUAAGCCGGUUGUGAAAGCCCCGGGCUCAACCUGGGAACGGCAUCCGGAACUGUCAAGCUAGAGUGCAGGAGAGGAAGGUAGAAUUCCCGGUGUAGCGGUGAAAUGCGUAGAGAUCGGGAGGAAUACCAGUGGCGAAGGCGGCCUUCUGGACUGACACUGACACUGAGGUGCGAAAGCGUGGGUAGCAAACAGGAUUAGAUACCCUUGUAGUC
rnacentral:rRNA from 1 species